rnacentral:lncRNA from 1 species
AAGAGUUCUCUGGAACACACCACCUUCCUGCCUAAACUAAUUUCAGCCCCAGGGCCCUCAGGGAAUGCUGCUGACAGGAGAAUGGGUGACCUCAUCCUGGAGAGGACUUUGUCCUCCCCCUGGGGACUUGAGCUGGCCAGACUGGUUCCUGCAGCAGUUAUAGCAGAGUGCCCCAAGGCCUUCGCACCAUGUCAGGUGUCUGCUAGGCUCUGUGCUCCUGGUGGCUCUCACACCCCUCACCCACUAGCAGCAGCUGGUGACCCCAAGGAGAUGGGUCCAGUCCAGCCACACUGCAGAGUCUACACCUGAGCAAGUCCGGACUCACCUGGAACAGGUGUUACCCUCUAGGACCCACCUAGUGGACCUUUGUGGACACAGCUUCCCCUCGCCGGAC